UGGACGAAAACUGNCGCUGAGGCGCGAAAGCCAGGGGAGCGAACGGGAUUAGAUACCCCGGUAGUCCUGNCCGUAAACGGUGGGUACUAGGUGUAGGAGGUAUCGACCCCUUCUGUGCCGGAGUUAACGCAAUAAGUACCCCGCCUGGGGAGUACGACCGCAAGGUUGAAACUCAAAGGAAUUGACGGGGGCCCGCACAAGCGGUGGAGUAUGUGGUUUAAUUNGACGCAACGCGAAGAACCUUACCAGGUCUUGACAUUGAUGGACAGAACCAGAGAUGGUUCNUCUUCUUCGGAAGCCAGAAAACAGGUGGUGCACGGUUGUCGUCAGCUCGUGUCGUGAGAUGUUGGGUUAAGUCCCNNAANANNNCGCAACCCCUAUCUUAUGUUGCCAGCACGUAAAGGUGGGAACUCAUGAGAGACUGCCGCAGACAAUGCGGAGGAAGGCGGGGAUGACGUCAAAUCAUCAUGCCCCUUAUGACCUGGGCUACACACGUACUACAAUGGGAGUUAAUAGACGGAAGCGAGAUCGCGAGAUGGAGCAAACCCGAGAAACACUCUCUCAGUUCGGAUCGUAGGNUGC
rnacentral:rRNA from 1 species